rnacentral:rRNA from 1 species
AUUGAACGCUGGCGGCAGGCCUAACACAUGCAAGUCGAACGGUAACAGGAAGAAGCUUGCUUCUUUGCUGACGAGUGGCGGACGGGUGAGUAAUGUCUGGGAAACUGCCUGAUGGAGGGGGAUAACUACUGGAAACGGUAGCUAAUACCGCAUAACGUCGCAAGACCAAAGAGGGGGACCUUCGGGCCUCUUGCCAUCGGAUGUCCCCAGAUGGGAUUAGCUAGUAGGUGGGGUAACGGCUCACCUAGGCGACGAUCCCUAGCUGGUCUGAGAGGAUGACCAGCCACACUGGAACUGAGACACGGUCCAGACUCCUACGGGAGGCAGCAGUGGGGAAUAUUGCACAAUGGGCGCAAGCCUGAUGCAGCCAUGCCGCGUGUAUGAAGAAGGCCUUCGGGUUGUAAAGUACUUUCAGCGGGGAGGAAGGGAGUAAAGUUAAUACCUUUGCUCAUUGACGUUACCCGCAGAAGAAGCACCGGCUAACUCCGUG